UGGGCGCAAGCCUGAUGCAGCCAUGCCGCGUGGUAUGAAGAAGGCCUUCGGGUUGUAAAGUACUUUCAGUCGUGAGGAAGGUAGUGUAGUUAAUAGAUGCAUUAUUUGACGUUAGCGACAGAAGAMGCACCGGCUAACUCCGUG
rnacentral:rRNA from 1 species